UCUCGAUAACGUAAAAGUUAACUCAAAUUCGUAUGGAGUUGGAACGUUUGUGUACGUUUGCCGCUAGCAGCGCCGUUCCAACUGCAUACAAUUUUUUAGUUAACUUUUUCGUUAUCGA
rnacentral:pre_miRNA from 9 species